CUGGCUCAGGACGAACGCUGGCGGCGUGCCUAAUACAUGCAAGUCGAGCGGAGUUGAUGAGGUGCUUGCACCUCUGAUACUUAGCGGCGGACGGGUGAGUAACACGUGGGUAACCUGCCUGUAAGACUGGGAUAACAUUCGGAAACGAAUGCUAAUACCGGAUACGCGAUUUGGUCGCAUGACCGAAUCGGGAAAGAUGGAGCAAUCUAUCACUUACAGAUGGACCCGCGGCGCAUUAGCUAGUUGGUGAGGUAACGGCUCACCAAGGCGACGAUGCGUAGCCGACCUGAGAGGGUGAUCGGCCACACUGGGACUGAGACACGGCCCAGACUCCUACGGGAGGCAGCAGUAGGGAAUCUUCCGCAAUGGACGAAAGUCUGACGGAGCAACGCCGCGUGAGUGAUGAAGGUUUUCGGAUCGUAAAGCUCUGUUGCCAGGGAAGAAUGCUUGGGAGAGUAACUGCUCUCAAGGUGACGGUACCUGAGAAGAAAGCCCCGGCUAACUACGUGCCAGCAGCCGCGGUAAUACGUAGGGGGCAAGCGUUGUCCGGAAUUAUUGGGCGUAAAGCGCGCGCAGGCGGCCUUGUAAGUCUGUUGUUUAAACUUGGGG
rnacentral:rRNA from 1 species